UUCUGUCUCCACCAACAACAUGAGCGAUGAUUUUCAAAAUGCAGCCUGAAGACAGAAAUAUCACUUUCUCGACGCCUGGAGGAACUUUACUUGUACGUGUUAAUGUGAACCGACACAUGCACAGCACAUGAUGAAACUUCAAGCAAUCGCAUUAACACACACCCAUGCACUAACACUGAAGUGCACAGACACACACACACAUCACACACACACACACACAUCACAAGCACACAGACCUCUUGAGUAACCACAGAAAUAUGUUUCCUCUUCUCUCUUCUCUUAUUUUGGAGUUCAUUACCGAGAAGCCUCAUCCUUGCUUCCUCCUUCUCAAACCAGAUGAGAUGCGGCUCAGUGACCAUAUAAGACCCUCGUCCAGGCUCGCUGUCAGUGUGCUGGACUGGGAUUGGCCGGCUGAUGGACGGAUGUGAUUGGUUCAGGUGCACAAACCAUCAUAAAGGCUCCAUUGUGCAGCAGUAACAUGCUGGUGCCUAUAGCAAUUUGAUAUGUGGGAUCUGUCGUUGCCCUGUGGCCCCCACCUGCAGCUAUACUUUGCAUAAUUCUGAAAAAGACAGACAGGGGCAGGUGCAGGAUGCUGCAGUGAACCAUGAAAUACUAAUUUUGUUGACCAGAGGUUUUCUCUUCUUAUGGCCACGUACUACCAUCAUUUUUCACAUUUAUAAAACGACUGCACAUUGAUUUAAAUGGGGAGCGAUGUGCACAGUUUCAAAGAGGCAGAGAUGUUUCUAUUUCUUAAAAAACAUUAAACCCAAUACUUGAAAGUUGGGAUCCAGGAACAACGAUGUCACAUUGUGUGUAUGUGCACUGUACCUGACCUGUGUCUCUCUGUACCUCCCUGAUUCUCCCUCUCACUGGGUCACAUUGUCUCCUGCACCAGCUGCUGGAAUCCCAAACAUUUUGAUUAUGCCAGAUAAUGUGCCAGGGAUGACAGAGGUUCAGCUCCAGUUACCAAAACCAAUAACUUUCUAUUUUCAUGCUGGAGCCCGAGGGGAUUUCAGUAAAGGCAAAACACGAACUAGCUCCGAAAGCACAGGAUCCACCGACUGCCCCCAAAGUACUGAUAUUCUGGGGAAGCAUUUGGAGAAUCAUGCAAGUCACUUUAUCUGCAGGGAUGUUGCCGCAAAAUAAUGAAAAGCAAUCACUUGUAACCAAACUAAGCCUCGGAGGGACACGAGAGCAGGUUGUCUCGUGGCUUUCCUCCUGAUGCUCACUAUUUAAAAUGUCUUUCAAAAUGUCUCAUACCGUCCUUUUCCAAUAUACCUAUUAAAUAUAUAUUACUCCUAUACAUUUUGGGUAGAGCCUACAUGCUGGCUACAUGGUAGUUUAUGAGGUCCUCUGGUGUGACGCUGCGAGCUAUUCCAAAGUCUAGGCUGUAAACCAAAGGUGACAGAGCCUUCGCCGUGAGGGACUCAUCUUUAUAGAGAAGCUGACGUAUGAUCUCUAAGUAUGUUUACUAUUAUGAUUUUUAUCUGAUUGUGAGUGAAUUUCAUAUUGUUUGUUUUAUAUUAUUAUCGCAUCGGUGUAAUUUACUUUUUGUUCUUCUGUGUGUGUGUGUGUGUCUGUGUGUGUGUGUGUGUGUGUGUGUGUGUGUGUGUUUGUAAAAGAAAAAAUAUUUUUAAAAAAAUCAAACGUUUGCAGGAGGAAGCACAGGAUCUACACACAUAACAGGUUUUGUCAAAUAAUAAAGCUGCACAGUGACGAACCAACAUCAGUGAAGCACAUAUGUGUGUCAGUGCGUGCGCGCGUGUGUGCGUCUGUUUUUUACUCGUGUCUGUUCGGGGACGAAUCAGCAUCAGACGUUUGAAUGAUCGGCCGGAGGAUAUGAUGAGAGUUGUUUUUACCUACCUGAGGUGCGGCGGAGUGAAACAGUCCCAAGUGUCGGUGGCAGUUUCUUCUUGUUGGUUUAAUCACAAAACCUGUUGUGUCACCAACAGACUCAGAGGCUCAGGUUGUCUCCAUGUAUCCGACUGACACACAUACUGAGAGAGAGAGAGAGAGAGAGAGAGACAGAGACAGACUGGGAGAGAGAGAGAGACUGAGACUGAGAGAGCGAGAGAGAGAGAGAGAGAGAGAGAGACAGACUGGGAGAGAGAGAGAGACUGAGACUGAGACUGAGAGAGCGAGAGAGAGAGAGAGAGAGAGAGAGAGAGACUGACAGAAAGAGAGAUACAGAGACAGAGACAGAGAGAGAAA